AUUGCCAUAUGAAACAAAAGUGUAUCGGAUCCUGCAAGGAGGAACUGGGAUUCCGAAUGUGAGAUGGUCUGGUGUUGAGGGACAUUUCAAUGUACUUGUGAUGGAUUUGUUUGGACCCAGUCUUGAACAUCUAUUUAACUUCUGUGGUAGAAAAUUUUCCUUGAAGACGGUUUUGAUGCUUGCAGAUCAAAUGAUUGAUCGAGUCGAGUUUGUUCACUCCCAGUCAUUUUUGCAUCGAGAUAUCAAGCCAGAAAAUUUCGUGAUGGGUUUGG